UGGGGAAUAUUGGACAAUGGGGGCAACCCUGAUCCAGCAAUGCCGCGUGUGUGAAGAAGGUCUUCGGAUUGUAAAGCACUUUCGACGGGGACGAUGAUGACGGUACCCGUAGAAGAAGCCCCGGCUAACUUCGUGCCAGCAGCCGCGGUAAUACGAAGGGGGCUAGCGUUGCUCGGAAUGACUGGGCGUAAAGGGCGUGUAGGCGGUUUACACAGUCAGAUGUGAAAUCCCCGGGCUUAACCUGGGAGCUGCAUUUGAUACGUGUAGACUAGAGUGUGAGAGAGGGUUGUGGAAUUCCCAGUGUAGAGGUGAAAUUCGUAGAUAUUGGGAAGAACACCGGUGGCGAAGGCGGCAACCUGGCUCAUGACUGACGCUGAGGCGCGAAAGCGUGGGGAGCAAACAGGAUUAGAUACCCUGGUAGUCCACGCCUGUAAACGAUGUGUGCUAGAUGUGGUACUUUGU
rnacentral:rRNA from 1 species